CCUAUCCCAAGAGGCAUUGCAGUGUGACUGCUGUAUCACAUGUGUGUCAGUAGGUGGCAGAGAGGAGAGAGGCUGUGUCUAUACUCAGUAUUCUGACCUACAAACAUCUGAAUGAAUAACAUUCCCCGAAA